rnacentral:rRNA from 1 species
GAGUUUGAUCUUGGCUCAGAUUGAACGCUGGCGGCAUGCCUUACACAUGCAAGUCGAACGGCAGCACGGGAGCUUGCUCCUGGUGGCGAGUGGCGAACGGGUGAGUAAUGCAUCGGAACGUAUCCUGGAGUGGGGGAUAACGUAGCGAAAGUUACGCUAAUACCGCAUAUUCUGUGAGCAGGAAAGCGGGGGACCUUCGGGCCUCGCGCUCUUGGAGCGGCCGAUGUCGGAUUAGCUAGUUGGUGAGGUAAAGGCUCACCAAGGCGACGAUCCGUAGCAGGUCUGAGAGGAUGAUCUGCCACACUGGAACUGAGACACGGUCCAGACUCCUACGGGAGGCAGCAGUGGGGAAUUUUGGACAAUGGGGGCAACCCUGAUCCAGCCAUGCCGCGUGUGUGAAGAAGGUCUUCGGAUUGUAAAGCACUUUAAGUUGGGAGGAAGGGCAGUAAGUUAAUACCUUGCUGUUUUGACGUUACCGACAGAAUAAGCACCGGCUAACUCUGUGCCAGCCG